UCCAAAGGUAGUGAGCUAUCCCAAUUGAUUGUCCACAGUCAGUUACAAAUCAAAUUCCUUGUCCUACUCUGUCUCCCCUUCUCACUACUGAAACUGA
rnacentral:sRNA from 1 species